rnacentral:lncRNA from 1 species
GUCAAAGUUGGAGUUGCUAUUGCUGCUGUUAUUGUCGUCAGUGUCAUUGUAAGAAUUUCUUCUUCUUCUUCUUCAUCUUUCUUUCUUUGUUCUUUCUUUCUCAAUCGAUCAUUCAUUUACGUCUUUGUGUCUAAUCUCAUCGAAAUAUUGUUUCUUCUUUCAUAUCUUUCUUUCUUUCUCAAUCAUGAUUAAUUUGUGUGUUUGUGUUAUAUACUGUUAUCUAUCUUCACCUUCUUUCAUCUUUCUUUCUUUCUAAAUGAUUCAUGAUCAAAGUGGAACAUAUAUGUAUAUAGACUAUAGUACUGUACUUAUAUAUUAUGUAUGAAUCAUUAUUUGAGUUCAAAUUUGCAAUUGCACAUUUUUUGUAUGGUAUAUACUGUGAUAUUAUAAUUAAUCAUUCUCAUGGACAUUUUUUGGCAUUUGAUUUUGUGUUUUGUUUUAAUAUAUUAUGAAAAAUGUUAUGAUUAAUAUAUAUUGUUUUUAAUUUGAUCAGCUGCUUAUAAUUCUGAUCCCAUUACUUGGAGACAACCAGCCACACCAUAUUGGAGACACACCAUCACCGUCACCGUCACCAUUACCAUGAUCGUAACCGGCGAACCCCAAAAUUCAUUGAGGCCGGCCAUUUAAUUCAUCUUCAUUAGUCAGUUUUUUUUUUUAAUUUCCUGAAUAAAGUGUUCCUUCUUUAAUUUUUGCUUUCAGUAUAUAUGUAGUUACAUGAUGGCUAAUAUUGCUUGGUUGGUAUUAGUAGAUUUUUACCACCCUAACUACUUAGUUUGUUACAUUUUAGUUUUACUCAUGUAAUUUGAAGGAAACAUAUCCAAUUACUGUUUAUGGUACAUUUGUUCAUUAAUAAUAAACUCAUUCAUCUUCAUAUAUAUGCAAG